CCAAAAGCGCGACCAAAAGCGGCCUACUAAUUUCUCGAGCCAAAUUAGCUAUUUCUUGAUUAUUUUGCUGAAAAGCUCGGCUUGCACGAAAAAUCUUCCCAAAGAUGAUUCAAUGAUCUUAAAAUGAUUUGUGACACACCCUGACUUCCAAUUUCUGAAUUUCAUCUCAAUUCCACGGUUAAUUUCACUUUGGCACGAUACUAGCGCGGCCCAACCUACCGGGUAGCAUUUAGAAAUUUUCAUGCAUUUGACCUGUGGUUGAUCAUCUCAAGCCACAAUGUACAUCUUUGAAACAUUGGCGGCUUUCGGUUGUCGGGGUAAUCUCAAGGUUUCAAAUACGAACACAGGGUACCCAAUCGAUAGAAAAGUCGGUCCAGUAUCGAUCGACAAGAAUUGUGCGAUCUGGUGGAA
rnacentral:lncRNA from 1 species